rnacentral:rRNA from 1 species
GACGAACGCUGGCGGCGUGCCUAAUACAUGCAAGUAGAACGCUGAGGGAGGAGCUUGCUUCUCUGGAUGAGUUGCGAACGGGUGAGUAACGCGUAGGUAACCUGCCUGGUAGCGUGGGAUAACUUUUGGAAACGAUAGCUAAUACCGCAUAAUAGUAGAUGUUGCAUGACAUUUGCUUAAAAGGUGCAAUUGCAUCACUACCAGACGGACCUGCGCUGUAUUAGCUAGUUGGUGGGGUAACGGAUCACCAAGGCGACGAUACAUAGCCGACCUGAGAGGGGGAUCGGCCACACUGGGACUGAGACCCGGCCCAGACGCCUAGGGGAGGCAGCCGUAGGGAAUCUGCGGCAAUGGGCGGAAGUCUGACCGAGAAACGCCGAGGGAGUGAAGAAGGUUGUCGGAUCGGAAAGCACUGUUUUAAGGGAAGAACGAGUGUGAGAGUGGAAAGUUCACACUGUGACGGUAUCUUACCAGAAAGGGACGGCUAACUACGUG